UGCUUAUUAUGUGCUUAAUGUUUUUUAAUAUUGGAUUAGCCUGAAUGACUAAUUCUUGGGCCUAUAAAUUGGGCCCUUUGUUAGGAGUUGGAGGAAGUAAGAAAAGAUUCUCUUCUCUUCUAUUCUAAUCCUUCUUCUUUUCUCUUCAAAAUCUUCUUCUUCCAAUCCUCUUCCAAGUUUUCUUAAUCUAUUUAUUUGAUCCUUCGUCUACUGGGUGGA
rnacentral:lncRNA from 1 species